CUCCUUUUCUUCUUUAUGCUUCUCUUUAUCUUCGGUGUGGAAAUCAUCAAAUCGCCUUAGGAGAGCAGCAAGGCUUUUGUCCACACUAGCAACAGAUUCCUCCAAACUUGUGAGCUUGUUGUUUGUGGCAGUCUGCGUAGCCUCCAACUGCCCCAGCUUUUCAUUUGUCACCUGCAAGUCGUUAUCAAGUCCCUCUGUGUGCAGCUUCACUUUCCUUUCAAAAUGUUGUAUGAUGCCCUUAGUGCGAGGUGUAUGUGGUGUUUCGUUACCAUCAUCUGCCCCUGGCAUGGUUCAAAGACAAAGACAACAAAAAGGCAAGUGAAGAAAUAAAAGCCCUACAACUACUAGGAUGUAGCUACAGCAAGUCGCUCACACUCAACCUGUAACACAAGUUCUUACCAAUUCUUACCUUGCUUGACAGGAGGGGUCGUCUGCCAACAAAUGUACAGCAAUGGACGAAGUAUAUCGGUGCUGCAGCACAAGACCUGUCAAGCUGUAGAGUAUGUGGAGCUAUAGGUGGGCUGAAACAAGGAACGAACUAGCACCACGUUAGUUAUAAAAGCGAGCUGAAUAAGCGUUCGACGAUGGUACUGUGCUGGUCCUAGGCUAGACCGUGCUAGAGACGCGAGCCUGGACACAAAGGAAAAACCACAGCACACCCCCGAAAACAAGGUGGAACAAACCUAAAAUCAAUAUGAAAAACAGCCCCUUUUUUUGAAUCUUUUCUCUUUUCUUUUUUUUCUUUUUUUCUUUUUUUGGGCAACCUCAAAAACUGAUUAUAUAAACAAAAGAAUACAAAAGAGCAAUUCGCUACACACACUUCUCUCUCUCUCUCUCUAGAGUAAGGCCGAACAAGUAUGAAGUUAUCUUUCUUUUUGGAUCAUAGAAGGACUCACAUAGACGGAGUUCAGGCUACAUUAAUAAGCGGACUCCAAGUUCUAUUCGGUUUCCACUCAGAACCAACCACAAAACGGAUUCCACCUAUUGCCAAGUUCUACUCGGUUUCCUUCUUUUUUUUAUCUCAUUGGUGGAACUCAGAUUGGAACUCUACUCGAUCCGGACCAAGACCACAGUUCAAUUCGGACUUCGCAACAGAUUCGACAGAGAGAAGAUAUGGUAAUACUCGGCUGUGUAUAGAUGGUGACAAGAACUCGAAACUCUAAAGGACUAGACACUAAGACCAGCAACUCGACACAAACCGAAGCAACGCAAAUUUAACAAGCCCUAACUAAAACGGUACUAGCCAAGGCACAAAGGUUUAAUAGGAUUAUGGAAAAACUAAUCUACUAUAUUUUUUUUGGCUUUUCUGGACUAUAGGAAAUUAAGUAAAAACAGCAAAGGAUUAGAAGUCUCUCACCGAAGAACCUUGCUCUGAUUAUCAACUGAUGCGAACCCGCUAGGGUUUUUGCCCGAUCUUUUGAUGAGAGACGGGGAUAACUCGAUUGGUGGAUGGAGAUGACGUUCACAGCCCGACUACAGCCCUCAAGACCGCGCCUUAGCAACCGAUACACCACGUCCAAUAGCCGUCACGAUCUUGUGUAGCGCGACAACCAGCCCCUAGGGUUCCCGUCCUGCAAGCAAUCGAAGAACUAGCAAGAACGAGGAAACAAGCACUGAAUUUGCAAGAUGAAUUGAAGGUUUCAAACUGAAUCUGAAUUAACAAUGGGGUUCCGAAGACAAGGAGACGGGCGGCUGAUCCUGCACGCGCGCCUACAAGCAAGUAGCGAAGGUUAAACUUGAUCUAAAUAAAACCCAACGACCAUGGCGACUCUAGAGG
rnacentral:lncRNA from 1 species